rnacentral:rRNA from 1 species
AUGAAUGUGGUGGUGAAGAUCAAGAGACGCAUUGCGUUGCACCCUUUCUCAUCUAAGAAGAAUCUUUUUAUAAUAAAAAUAAUAACAUCCAACAAAAGAAAUGGAAGAACGUGGUACAAUUAUUCUCCUAUCUUCUCCAAGCUGUUGGCUAACCGACUAGCCCCUCUUCUUCCGUCGCUGGUUUCUAAGUGCCAGAGUGCCUUUGUGCAGAAACGGUGCAUCCACAAUAAUUUCCUACAUGUGCAAAACUUGAUCAAAGAAUUGCACCGCUCUUCAACGCCAGGCCUUUUCCUCAAGCUCGACAUCUCCAAGGCUUUCGACUUUGUGGGUUGGGCUUACCUCCUGGAGGUGCUGCAACAGUUGGGAUUUGGGCAGCGCUGGCGGGAAUGGAUCUGCAUGACCCUCGCUUCAUCUUCCUCUAGGGUGCUGUUAAAUGGGGAGCCGGGAACCCCAUUCGUACAUGGAAAAGGCCUUCGCCAGGCCGACCCGGUGUCA